rnacentral:rRNA from 1 species
UACGGGGGGAGCAAGCGUUGUUCGGAUUUACUAGGCGUAAAGGGCGCGUAGGCGGCACUGCAAGUCAGUUGUGAAAUCUCCGGGCUUAACCCGGAAAGGUCAACUGAUACUGCAGGGCUAGAGUGCAGAAGGGGCAACUGGAAUUCUCGGUGUAGCGGUGAAAUGCGUAGAUAUCGAGAGGAACACCUGCGGCGAAGGCGGGUUGCUGGGCUGACACUGACGCUGAGGCGCGAAAGCCAGGGGAGCGAACGGG